CAAUGCAGUGUACAUAUACCCGGGCAUCAACAGGGCAUCAACCACGAACGAGCAAGUCAUCUGGGUAUCAUGCAUUGCAGGGCCUCCGCCGUCAUCGCGGUUGCUGCGAUAGGGGUCUACCCAGACUCGGCUAGACUUUUUUUUCUUUUCGAUUUGUGUGUAUUGUGGGAGCUCCACAGGAAGCGGAGUCUGCGGCUCUCUCUCUACUAGUUGUGUACAACAAUGCUCCAUUUUGGUAUGAGUAUUCUCUCACGUCAAGGGAGAUCGUUGUUUUUUCUUUGUAGUAGUGCUGGAAUACGUCGCAAUUGCGGUAUUCUAGUCCCUCCCUUCUUUUUAUUUUUUUUUGAUCGCUGCAUGGCUACGGGGCUCCGGAGGCGGCAAUAGCAUCGCUCAUACUUCAUACACGGAGAGAUCUGUGAAAGGUGGCGUGGUCGGAGUUAUGUCGCUGUUGGAACAGAAUGCUUGAGUCUUGUACAAGGAGGUGGCAAAUGAUGCCUAAAGGUCUGUGUUCGUAAAGCGGUGCGGCAUUCUCGUCUUUGGUGGCUGCUCGCUGCAGAUUUUUUUCGGAAGCUGGCGUUCGUUGAGCUGAUGCAACGUCGACACUGAGGUGCGCUGUGGUGGAUGAUGAAUUCUGCAAGUGGCGAGGGAUCCAACGCCAUGUUGGCUUGUCGAGUCUCGGAUGCAACAGUACAUCGCUCGAUGCAAGCUGUGAAACCACUGUAGUGCUGUUGCAUGAACGAAUUCGUUGUGUCAUUUUCAUAGAGCGUCGAUUCACCGGGAUGCUUGAAAUCGGAGCUGCUCAAGGUCGGUGGAGUUUGGAUAAGAGUAUCUUCAUAGUGGAGCAGAGAUUGGUGAAAAUUCAGGAGGUUUGAAGAAGCGGUGCAGUGUAGGAUGAGAACCGAGCUCCACCCUGGACAGAGCUUCAGGUGCCAGUGCCGACCAUUCACCGAGAACUUCACCACGUGGAUGAAUUUUCAUUCAUAGAUGAGAAGUUAUUUGUAGGUAAAACUCACUCAAGGAUGAGAAUUUGCCUUGGAUGAAAAUUAAUACUAGAUAAAAUAAUAAAACCAAAAAUUGUUUAAAAUC